UAUUGUAUUUGUGAAGUGUUGGGUCAAGGUAACUGGCAUGCAUCAAGGCUUAGCUGGGUAUUGUAUUUGGGAAGUGUUGGGUCAAGGUCAAGGUAACUGGCUUGCAUCAAGGCCUAGCUGGGUA